GGACCGGGAUGGACAUACCUCUGGUGUACCAGUUGUCGUGCCAACGGCAUAGCUGGGUAGCUAUGUAUGGACGGGAUAAGUGCUGAAAGCAUCUAAGCAUGAAGCCCCCCUCAAGAUGAGAUUUCCCAACUUCGGUUAUAAGAUCCCUCGAAGAUGACGAGGUUAAUAGGUUCGAGGUGGAAGCGUGGUGACACGUGGAGCUGACGAAUACUAAUCGAUCGAAGACUUAAUCAAAUU
rnacentral:rRNA from 1 species